GCCUGAUGCAGCCAUGCCGCGUGUGUGAUGAAGGCCUUAGGGUUGUAAAGCUACUUUCACUGGAGAAGAUAGAUGACGGUAUGCCAUAGAAGAAGCUCCGGCCUAACUCUCGUGCCAGCAGCCGCGGUAAUA
rnacentral:rRNA from 1 species